rnacentral:rRNA from 1 species
GAUGAACGCUGGCGGCGUGCCUAAUACAUGCAAGUCGAGCGAACGGACGAGAAGCUUGCUUUUCUGAUGUUAGCGGCGGACGGGUGAGUAACACGUGGAUAACCUACCUAUAACACUGGGAUAACUUCGGGAAACCGGAGCUAAUACCGGAUAAUAUUUUGAACCGCAUGGUUCAAUAGUGAAAGACGGUCUUGCUGUCACUUAUAGAUGGAUCCGCGCUGCAUUAGCUAGUUGGUAAGGUGACGGCUUACCAAGGCAACGAUGCAUAGCCGACCUGAGAGGGUGAUCGGCCACACUGGAACUGAGACACGGUCCAGACUCCUACGGGAGGCAGCAGUAGGGAAUCUUCCGCAAUGGGCGAAAGCCUGACGGAGCAACGCCGCGUGAGUGAUGAAGGUCUUCGGAUCGUAAAACUCUGUUAUUAGGGAAGAACAUAUGUGUAAGUAACUGUGCACAUCUUGACGGUACCUAAUCAGAAAGCCACGGCUAACUACGUG